rnacentral:rRNA from 1 species
UACAGAGGGGGCAAGCGUUAUUCGGAAUUAUUGGGCGUUAAGGGCGCGUAGGCGGCUUGGCAAGUGGAUGGUGAAAUCCCUCGGCUUAACCGAGGAACUGCCGUCCAAACUGCUUCGCUUGAGACCGGGAGAGGUGAGUGGAAUUCCCAGUGUAGCGGUGAAAUGCGUAGAUAUUGGGAGGAACACCAGUGGCGAAGGCGGCUCACUGGACCGGUACUGACGCUGAUGCGCGAAAGCGUGGGGAGCAAACGGG